rnacentral:rRNA from 1 species
CGGCGGACGGGUGAGUAACACGUGGAUAACCUACCUAUAAGACUGGGAUAACUUCGGGAAACCGGAGCUAAUACCGGAUAAUAUUUUGAACCGCAUGGUUCAAAAGUGAAAGACGGUCUUGCUGUCACCUAUAGAUGGAUCCGCGCUGCAUUAGCUAGUUGGUAAGGUAACGGCUUACCAAGGCAACGAUGCAUAGCCGACCUGAGAGGGUGAUCGGCCACACUGGAACUGAGACACGGUCCAG